ACUGUGGUUUCUUCCUUGUGCUCAGAACUUUGCUUGUUUUCUGGGCAUCCUCUCUGUCUGUCCAGGCUUGCUCUCACCACUGCCCUCAGGAGUGCACACAAGGAACCAGCCACAGAGAAGGGGAAGUGUGGGAUUGGCACUGCGGCACUGGGGAUUCCCACAGGCAGAUGGUAGGAUCCUCAAGUGAAGAUUUCCCAGCAGGUUUUGGGCAGGUCUCCUGCUUUGAAUCUAGAACACAGUCAGCAGACAUCCCUUUAAUUCCCUCUGUUAUUCUUGUCUGCCUCUCUCCCCAUGUUUCCCUUCCCCUAAGUCAUGGAGCGCUUGUUUAAUACUCUGUUGUUGUUGACGCCUCCUUCACAACAACACUCAAAUUCUACCUCAAAAAGUUUCUUUAGCAAUAGCCCUCACAGCUGGGAAAACCAAGGGCUCACUCACCACUGUUCCUUUCCCCCUUGGGAUGGUUUCUCAGCCCACUUCUUCUCUAAGCGAUGCCACCAUGGGGGCAGGGUGAUGCUCAGAAAGUUCCUCUUCAGUGGAGGUUGUUGUUGUUUGUUUGUUUGUUUCCACGGAGUUCUUGAACUUCUUUAGAAACCUGAAUUCCUAGAAAUUAUCCAAAUGUAUCUGGGCAAGUCAGCAUUUUCUAGAGGUUGAAGCCAGUUCACAGGCUCCUGCUGAUUCUGCAAUUGUAUUGGGGUGUGUCUGCCUGUUACCCAAUGCAGAAGUGAGUGAGAUUCCUCCUUAGUACCUUGGUGUGUGGUGCUGGAUGCCACAGCUCCCAGAGAGGCAGUUUUCAUCAUGGAUAGAUGACAAAUUUUAAAAGUUAAAGGCAGUGACCGCGGAUGUCUUAUGCCAUCACAACAUCACUCCGUAAGUAUUAUAAUUUAAUGUUUGUAAUUUUAUAUUUAUUGGUUGAAUCUAAGUCUAUGAAAUGAAUUCCUACCUUGUCAGAGGAAGAACUUGGCCACAUUUAUAUUUCUUACAUUUGCUUCCUGUUGAGGGGGGUAAUAAUAAUUUCAAUUGUGCUUUAGCCUCAGGUCUAUACUUCAUCAUAUACAGUAUAAUGUUAAUUAUGUGCUCCUUAGCUUAAACUUCAACAUUAAAUACAGUCACUAGCCCUAGGGGAGAAUCUAUAGUUCCAGUAAUUUCAUACAUUGUUUUCAUGUUUUCUGAGAUUCUUAUUUUCAUGUACCUAUGGGUUGUCUGGAUGUCUUUGUUAAGGAGUUUAUUUUCAGAAAAAGUCUACAUAUGUUGUAUUCAGUAAGUUCCUGAUGCUAAGUUUUGAGAUUACAUUUGCCUGAGAACAGGAUGGGUGUAAGAGCUUGGCUUACUUGCUGUUUUCCUCAGACAGUGUAAAUAUUAUUCUUUUAUUGUCAGCCAUUGAUGGGGCUGGGGCAAAGUCUAAGUUAAGGUUGAUAUUUCCAGUAAGCUGCAUAUUUUUUCUUUAUAC
rnacentral:lncRNA from 1 species